UCAGAAUCCUUCAGGAAACAAGCUGACGUAUUCCUGGCUGCACACUGAGACCCAAGAAAGCCUGCCCUGAGCCAGGCACCUAAGAAGACCUCUCCCCAGAUCUGCCCUUCUAUACAAAGUGAGAUGUCUGGGCCAAUGGAGUGCACCCCCCUAGAGCCUGCACCCUCUCAGAAAUCCCACUCUGUGUACUGAGGACCCCUGGGUUCUCUGCCCAGAUGGCCAAGAGCUUCCAGGGGAUGGAGCUUGAGCAGAUGUACUGAGAUACGUCAAAAAAGGAAAGCAUCUUGUAAUAUCACUGUUAUGUGUAGAAGAAUUAUGUUUUAAAGCAUCUGAAUUAUCGAUUUCCACCCUCAUGGAUCUGAAAUGCGAUAUAUUUGAGAAGACUGCAGGCUAAGUUCAAAUUCCAGCUCUGUUAUUUCUAACUGGCAAUUAUUGAGUCUCCCUAAGCUUCAGUUUCCUCACCUGUCAAGUGAAGUUAAUAAUACUAUAUGGGUCUGAUGCAAGAUUCAAGUCCAUAAGGCAAGGAAAGGGUCAAGUAUAUUUCAUACGACAUAGUAAUAUGAGCAGAGCACAACAGAAGAUUGCUCCUGCUGUUGUCAUCAGUGUAACAUUGUUGAAGCACAUUCUACCUGGGAAGAAGGAAACAAGGAGCAGCUGUUGUCUUGCCACACUUUGAACAAUGGUAGUAGCUGGCUUCCAAAGACAAGCCCCAAUGAACCUUGUUCUGGCAUCCACACCCUUGUUUAGUCCACCCAACAAUGAAUCUGGGCUGGUCCCAUGGCUUGCUUUAACCAUUAGAAUAAUGUGACUGUAAUACUAAGCCAAUGUUGUACCUAAGCCUUUAAAAGGCAUGGAAGCAUCUUAUUUUGUGCUUUUAGGGGCCCUCAGCUCCCUGCUGGAGAGACCAUAGGAAGAAACCCCAUGGAAAAGCCCUGAGACAACAUAAACAGGGAAAGGGGCCCAGCUUUCCUCGCACCUUAGGGAGCCUCCAGAUGACUCCAAUGCAAUCCACCUGAAAAUGCAUGACAGACCCCAAGAGAGACCAGCAGAAGAACAAUCUCACUGAGUCCAGUCAAUCCCCAAGCCAUAAGAGAUAAUACAGAGGUUGCUGUUUUUAAGCCAUUAUGUUUUAGGGGGUUUUGUAACACAGCAAUAGAUAACCCAAACAAUAAUGCUGUCCAAACAACCUGAGCUUUUAACACACGCAGUCAUUUAGCCUAACCUGUGCACAACUAUGAAAAACUGGAAAACAAUCAUGAAUGAUGGCAAAUUCUUCAAACUCGGGGACCUUCCAUCUUACGCAUCCAUAAGUACCCUACCUCCUCUCCUCUUUCAGAUCUUAGUAAACAGAGAAGCUUAAAAAUAUAUUAAUAUCUGGCUGGCUGUCUUACUGACUUUCAGUUCAACAUGUACUUAUCCGGUACCUAUUCUGUGCCAGAUGCUCUGCUCAACACUAGAAGACAAGAGGAUAUCAGCAGAGUCAAUGCUAUUAAGGAUUUUAUAGCCUGGACUUACACGCAGAGAGUGCUGGAUAAAGUUCACUUUGAGAAGAAACAAUUACAUCUUUUAUCCAGCCCUAGAAGGUAACAGAUUUCCAUAGUCUUUAGUCUGUACCUGUUAGAGAUUUUUUAAAAACAAAACAGGACCAUUAAGUCUGCUUUGCUUUCUAACCACUAGAUGGUCCCUUUGUGGGUCAUGAUGAAUACACAACUAAAAAUAUUCCCUGCUUACCUAUGCUGGAUCUUUUUUUUUUUUUUUUAAAGAAGAAAUGAAAUGCUCCAAUCAUUCACCCAAAGGGAAUAUGUGAUCUGGCCAGAUGCUGAAGGCUAUUCAACUUGGUUUGAUAGUUUCUUAUUAAAAUCAGAUGCUAACUAGUGCUCUGAUUAUUUGCAUGUUUGCUUUUCCUAGUCACGAGAAUUGUCAUUGCUGAAAAAUGUGUGCAAAUAUAUUUAUUUGGCUUAACAGUCACUUUGCUGAUGUUUCAAUUUCCCUGAGAAUGCCACAGCCAUGUUAAGGCAAAUUUUGCAGCUUGACACAAUCUAACCAAUCUUAAAAAACAUCCCCCUCAAGCUCACAUCCCCUUUUGUUGUUUGCUAUAUAUUUCUCAUUUUCCCUCUCAACCAAACAUCUUAAAAGAAGAUGACUACCUCCUCUCCUCUCAUUUACUCCUCAACCACAUGCUAUCUAAAUCCCAGCUACGUGGCUUCCCUAAAGUCAUAAUCCCAAAGGACACCAAUGAUGAGUUGUCUAUGCCCACCGGACACCAUCUUGUCAAGAUCUGCCAGGGUGGACUCUUCUUUCUGAAACUCUCUCCUCUGGUUCACCGAGACCACCAGUCCCUCCUGGUUUUCCUCCAAACUCCAGUGGGCCAUCUGUCUUCUCUGUAGGCUCUGCUGCCUCUGUUCAGAACUCACAGGCUGGUGGCCCUCAGGGUGUUACUGUACCCUCGACUUUGCUUCACACUUUACUUUCUCUCUUUGGAGUUUUCAUCCCAGGGCUUCCAUGAUCAUCCAGGUGCUGAUGACUUCCAAUCUGCAUUUCUUAGACCUCUCCUGACCCCAGUUAUCUAUACCCAAGGAGCCCUCCAUCUGAAUGUCUCAGAAGCACAUGAAAGCUGGCAUGGCCCCAAAUAAAUUCAUCUUUUCCCCUCACAAAUCUGCUCCUCUUCAGUGUAUCUGACUUAGUCAAUGGUACAAUGUGGAGGAAAAGUUAAAUAUUAAAUUUGAACUCAAUUGAACAUGGACACAAACAAUGGUCACCAAGUCCCGGAACAGAUGAGUUGAGGCGUUCAUCCAGCACUGUUUUGGAGAAAUCUGUAUUUCAAUCUAUUCCUAUAUAUUAGUUAUUGAAAAACAAUAGACAAUCACAAAAAUCAAGUUGACUUUUUGCGUUCCUUGAGCCCAGUCGCAAAGGGCCUUUGUGACUGGGCCUCAUGCCAAACAACUUGUUACAAAAAGACCUAGGGUCCCAGACCACGCUGAAGCUUCAUGAGACGUCUCCUCAUCUGUGCAGAGACAAGCGGCUGACUCUGGAGCCCAGGCUGUUGCUUCCCGGUCUGGUGGUGAAUCCUCCAUAGUCUGGCAAGUGUGGAUAGAUAGAUAUAUAGAUAUAUAUAUAUAUAUAUAUAUAUAUAUAUAUAUAUAUAUAUAUAUAUAUAUAUAUAUCUUUUCCCUUCUCCCCUUCCCGUUGCAAUUUAUUAUAUUAAUUUGCUUAUUAUACCAUUUGCUUAUUAUAUCAUUUGCUUAUUAUAUCUGCAUUGCCAUUUACGUGGGAUAAAGCUUGUUUACCCUUAAAGAUAUUGUGUGUGUGUCUUUUCUUCUCCCCUCGUGCAUCUCCUGCACAGAACAUACCUCCAUCCAUUUAAUUGCUCAGUGAGAAAUCCAAGAGUGGUUUUUUAUUCUUCUCCCCACUUCCACAUCCA
rnacentral:lncRNA from 1 species